rnacentral:rRNA from 1 species
UGCGUAGGCGGCGAUAAAAGUUAGGAGUGAAAGCCCAGGGCUCAACCUUGGAAUUGCUCUUAAAACUAUAUUGCUCGAAUCUCGGAGAGGAUAGCGGAAUUGUCAGUGUAGCAGUGAAAUGCGUAGAUAUUGACAGGAACACCAGUGGCGUAAGCGGCUAUCUGGACGAGUAUUGACGCUGAGGCACGAAAGCGUGGGGAUCAAACAGGAUUAGAUACCCUGGUAGUCCACGCUGUAAACGAUGUGUGUUUGUCGCUGGGGAGUUUACUCUUCGGUGACGGAGCUAACGCGUUAAGCACACCGCCUGGGAAGUACGGUCGCAAGAUUAAA